AAUUAAUAUAGUUCUUGAAAUUUCCAGAAAAGUGCUAAAUAAAUGUUUAUAAAAGAUGGAAUGAUUUGUGGUCGUGAAAUGUAAGCGUAAAUACAGCUAUAUAUCCAUAACUCUUGAGACUUCAGUUAUAGAAGUGCAUCCACACUGUCAUGAGCCACAUUAACAGUUUUGGAACUUGGUUACCACACGGAGUCGCUGUUUACUAUGUAAUGCUUGUUGGUUUAUUAAACUUUUGAUUUCAUUUUUCUUUUCUUUUUUCUUUUUUGUCGUUGCUGCCAUGUUAACAUGUCUUAGUAAUAUAUUAUUAAUAGUAAUAUAUUAUAAUAAAUACUGGGGGCGUCUCGCUCUCAUCACCGGAUGUCUAUUUUGGCGCUCAGGAGAAUGACUGGAAUUUACCUCAGAAUUGACCUCAUGUUUAUUUCUGAUUAUUCAGAUUAGUGUCAUUCACGAGAGGACUCCCUCCAUUAGUUGACACAGCAGCAGAGACAAAACAUCUUGCUUUGUGGAAAUGCAUUAAAAGGCGCUGUCACCAUUGAGGAGACAAAAUAGCUACGCUGAAGGACACUCCACUCAUGUGAAAUGAAGUGGGGAAUACAUUAAAGCCAAGUACAAGAAUUCAUAAACCAGAAAAGCCCAUUGAAACGGACUUUCUUAAUCAACUUGAAGUUCCCAACCGGGGUAAGACUGAAUGAUUACAUUCAUAUUGGGCACAAUGAACAUUCUUGCCCUUCUAUGACACGGUGUGGGGUGGCCGCUGUACGCGAGUGCCGUGAGAC